GGGUCAGUAGGUUGGUCGUGCCACCGGUACGUACUGGCCUCACUGAUUCCUCCUUCCUGAAGAACCGUAAUGCCAUUAAUUUGGUGGUGCGGGGAAACAGGACUGUUACUUUGAAAAAAUUAGAGUGUUUAAAGCAAGCUAACGCUUGAAUACAUUAGCAUGGAAUAAUGAAAUAGGACGAUCGAUCCUAUUUUGUUGGUUUCUAGGAUUGACGUA
rnacentral:rRNA from 1 species